rnacentral:rRNA from 1 species
GGAUGAGGCAUGCAAGUCGAACGUGAAAGGCCUUCGGGCUGAGUAAAGUGGCGUAAGGGUGAGUAACACGUAAUCAACCUACCCCCGAGACGGGAACAACCGCUGGAAACGGCGGCUAAUACCCGAUCUCAACUUCUUGUCGCAUGGCAGGAGGUGCAAACGGGAGGGAUCCUUCGGGACCUUCUGCUAGGGGAGGGGAUUGCGGCCUAUCAGCUUGUUGGUGAGGUAACGGCUCACCAAGGCAAUGACGGGUAGCCGGUCUGAGAGGAUGGUCGGCCACACUGGGACUGAGACACUGCCCAGACUCCUACGGGAGGCUGCAGUCGAGAAUCUUCCGCAAUGGACGAAAGUCUGACGGAGCGACGCCGCGUGGAGGAUGGAGGCCUUCGGGUUGUAAACUCCUGUCAGGGUUCAAAGAACGGGUGGCGGUUAAUAUCUGGCAUCUUGACAUUAGGCCCAAAGGAAGCACCGGCUAACUCUGUGCCAGCAGCCGCGGUAAGACAGAGGGUGCAAACGUUGCUCGGAAUCACUGGGCAUAAAGCGCACGUAGGCGGCCGUGUCAGUGCGAUGUGAAAGCCCCCGGCCCAACCGGGGAAUUGCAUCGCAUACUGCAUGACUAGAGCUUGGGAGGGGAGAGUGGAACUCCUGGUGGAGCGGUGGAAUGCGUAGAUAUCAGGAGGAACGCCGGAGGUGAAGACGACUCUCUGGCCCAAUGCUGACGCUGAGGUGCGAAAGCUAGGGUAGCGAACGGGAUUAGAUACCCCGGUAGUCCUAGCCCUAAACGAUGGGCACUAGCUAGAGGGAAUUCCUAUGUUCUCUCUGGCGAAGCAAAUGUUCUAAGUGCCCCGCCUGGGGAGUACGGUCGCAAGGCUAAAACUCAAAGGAAUUGACGGGGGCUCACACAAGCGGUGGAGCAUGUUGUUUAAUUCGAUGCAACGCGAAGAACCUUACCAAGGUCUGAAUGCAGGGAUUAAGCCCCGAAAGGGGUGGAUUGCCUUCGGGUGUAACCUGUACCGGUGUUGCAUGGCUGUCGUCAGCUCGUGUCGUGAGAUGUUGGGUUAAGUCCCGUAACGAGCGAAACCCCUAUUGCUAGUUGCCAGCGAGUUAAGUCGGGGACUCUAGCGAGACUGCCGUUGUCAAGACGGAGGAAGGUGGGGAUGACGUCAAGUCAUCAUGGCCUGUAUACCUUGGGCUACAAACGUGCUACAAUGGUCGGGACAGAGGGCCGCCAAAUCGCGAGGCGGAGCAAACCCCAGAAACCCGCCCUCAGUUCGGAUUGUAGGCUGAAAUUCGCCUACAUGAAGUUGGAAUCGCUAGUAAUCGCGGAUCAGCGACGCCGCGGUGAAUAUGUUCCUGAGCCUUGUACACACCGCCCGUCAAGCCACGAAAGCUGGGAGCGCCCGAAGUCGCUAGCCCAACCCGCAAGGGGGGGCGGCGCCGAAGGCGAGUUCGGUAAUUGGGACUAAGUCGUAACAAGGUAGCCGUAGGAGAACCUGCGGCUGGAUCACCUCCUCU